CCCCCCCGUAACUUCUAAAAUAACAGAAUGAAAAAAACUAAAAAAAAUAUAUGAUAUACAUUGUCAUGCAAACUUCCACCGAAAAUUGGUUUGAACGAGAUCUAGUAAGUAUUUUUUUUAAUACGUCAUAAAAUUAAAAAAAAAAUUUUUUUUCAUCAAACCCAUACGUGUGGGGUAUCUAUGGAUAGGUCUUCAAAAAUGAUAUUUAGGUACCUAAUAUCAUUUUUUUCUAAACUGAAUAGUUUGCGCGAGAGACACUUCCAAAGUGGUAAAAUGUGUGUCCAAAGUGGUAAAAUGUUGAACAAGAUCUAGCAAGUAGAUUUUUUUUAAUACGUCUCAAAUGGUACGGAACCCUUCAUGCGCGAGUCCGACUCGCACUUGGCCGCUUUUUUAACUUGCCGUGUUAGUAUUAGUAUUUAGUAAAAUACAAAAAAAAACAUAUUAGUAUGUUUGCCUGUGUUUUAGUUGGUGUGGGUCAAAUCAUGAAAGCUAAAUUUGACCCACUUCUCGAUUUCCGAUUGAGCUGAAAUUUUACAUACGCAUGUAAGUCGACUGACAGCUACACCCAAAAAAAUAAGACAUCAUCAUUCAUCGCCGAACACACAAUUAGCUACUUGACAAUUUUUUGUAAGUAAUGUCAAUCGAUCUUGAUUUUUCUGGGGAUCAAAUGUCGAUAUAAUCUUGACGACCGGUUUGGCCUAGUGGGUAGUGAACUAGUGACCCUACCUACGAAGCUGAUGGCCCGGGUUCAAAUCCUGGUAAGGGCAUUUAUUCGUGUGAUGAGCAUAGAUAUUAGUUCCUGAGUAAUGGGUGUUUUCUAUGUAUUUAAGUAUUUAUAAAUAUUUAUAUAUAUCGUUGUCUAAGUACCCUUAACACAAGCCUUAUUGAGCUUACUGUGGGACUUAGUCAAUUUGUGUAAUAAUGUCCUAUAAUAUU